rnacentral:rRNA from 1 species
AGAGUUUGAUCCUGGCUCAGGACGAACGCUGGCGGCGUGCCUAAUACAUGCAAGUCGAGCGAACUGAUAAGGAGCUUGCUCCUUUGACGUUAGCGGCGGACGGGUGAGUAACACGUGGGCAACCUACCUGUAAGACUGGGAUAACUUCGGGAAACCGGAGCUAAUACCGGAUGAAUCUUUUCUUCGCAUGAAGAAGAGAUAAAAGAUGGUUUCGGCUAUCACUUACAGAUGGGCCCGCGGCGCAUUAGCUAGUUGGUGAGGUAAGAGCUCACCAAGGCGACGAUGCGUAGCCGACCUGAGAGGGUGAUCGGCCACACUGGGACUGAGACACGGCCCAGACUCCUACGGGAGGCAGCAGUAGGGAAUCUUCCGCAAUGGACGAAAGUCUGACGGAGCAACGCCGCGUGAGCGAUGAAGGUCUUCGGAUCGUAAAGCUCUGUUAUUAGGGAAGAACAAGUAUCGGAGUAACUGCCGGUACCUUGACGGUACCUAACCAGAAAGCCACGGCUAACUACGUGCCAGCAGCCGCGGUAAUACGUAGGUGGCAAGCGUUGUCCGGAAUUAUUGGGCGUAAAGCGCGCGCAGGCGGUCCUUUAAGUCUGAUGUGAAAGCCCACGGCUCAACCGUGGAGGGUCAUUGGAAACUGGAGGACUUGAGUGCAGAAGAGGAGAGUGGAAUUCCACGUGUAGCGGUGAAAUGCGUAGAGAUGUGGAGGAACACCAGUGGCGAAGGCGACUCUCUGGUCUGUAACUGACGCUGAGGCGCGAAAGCGUGGGUAGCGAACAGGAUUAGAUACCCUGGUAGUCCACGCCGUAAACGAUGAGUGCUAAGUGUUAGAGGGUUUCCGCCCUUUAGUGCUGCAGUUAACGCAUUAAGCACUCCGCCUGGGGAGUACGGCCGCAAGGCUGAAACUCAA